GCCCUCAUUGUCUAAUGGCUAUGACGUCAGACUUCUAAGGUCUGAUUGACCGUUGGGAUCUGGAGGUUGCGGGUUCGAGUCCCGCUGGGGGUA